UACGGGGGGGCAAGCGUUGUUCGGAAUUACUGGGCGUAAAGGGCUCGUAGGUGGCCAACUAAGUCAUACGUGAAAUCCCUCGGCUUAACCGGGGAACUGCGUCUGAUACUGGAUGGCUUGAGGUUGGGAGAGGGAUGCGGAAUUCCAGGUGUAGCGGUGAAAUGCGCAGAUAUCAGGAAGAACACCCGUGGCGAAGGCGGCUCUCUGGGACGGUACUGACGCUGAGACGCGAAAAGCGUGGGGGAGCGAAACAGG
rnacentral:rRNA from 1 species